rnacentral:tRNA from 1 species
CCUGGUGGCUCAGAUGGUAAAGCGUCUGCCUAUAAUGCAGGAGACCCGGGUUCAAUCCCUGGGUCAGGA